GAUGAACGCUAGCGGGAGGCUUAACACAUGCAAGUCGAGGGGCAGCAUAGGGUAGCAAUACUCUGAUGGCGACCGGCAAACGGGUGAGUAACGCGUAUGCAACCUACCCUGUACAGGGGGAUAACCCGGAGAAAUUCGGACUAAUAUCCCGUAAUAAUAUCCGGAGGCAUCUUUGGAUAUUUAAAGUUCCGACGGUACGGGAUGGGCAUGCGUAACAUUAACUGGUUGGUAAGGUAACGGCUUACCAAGGCUAUGAUGUUUAGGGGUCCUGGAGAGGGUGGUCCCCCACACUGGUACUGAGACACGGACCAGACUCCUACGGGAGGCAGCAGUGAGGAAUAUUGGUCAAUGGGCGCAAGCCUGAAUCAGCCAUCCCGCGUGCAGGAAGACGGCCCUAUGGGUUGUAAACUGCUUUUCCAGGGAGAGAAACUUACGCACGUGUUGCGUGACUGACGGUACCCUGGGAAUAAGCAUCGGCUAACUCCGUGCCAGCAGCCGCGGUAAAAGUCAACGUCGCG
rnacentral:rRNA from 1 species